rnacentral:rRNA from 1 species
GAUGAACGCUGGCGGCGUGCCUAAUACAUGCAAGUCGAGCGAACAGACGAGGAGCUUGCUCCUCUGACGUUAGCGGCGGACGGGUGAGUAACACGUGGAUAACCUACCUAUAAGACUGGGAUAACUUCGGGAAACCGGAGCUAAUACCGGAUAAUAUAUUGAACCGCAUGGUUCAAUAGUGAAAGACGGUUUUGCUGUCACUGAUAGAUGGAUCCGCGCCGCAUUAGCUAGUUGGUAAGGUAACGGCUUACCAAGGCGACGAUGCGUAGCCGACCUGAGAGGGUGUUCGGCCACACUGGAACUGAGACACGGUCCAGACUCCUACGGGAGGCAGCAGUAGGGAAUCUUCCGCAAUGGGCGAAAGCCUGACGGAGCAACGCCGCGUGAGUGAUGAAGGUCUUCGGAUCGUAAAACUCUGUUAUUAGGGAAGAACAAAUGUGUAAGUAACUAUGCACGUCUUGACGGUACCUAAUCAGAAAGCCACGGCUAACUACGUG